GCUUGUGUAGAGUAAAAACAAAACAAAAACAAAAAGCAAACAGUUUUCCAUGUGGGGACCAGUCAAAUGUCCCCACAAGGACAUAAACUGUCAGAUAUUCCUCUUUGUAGCCAUGUGAGUUAGCUUUCCCUGUCCAUGUCCCAGUCUGUGUGAGUUGUAGCCCAUUCACACGGGAAUCCGCUGUACUAUAUGUGUAUGUGUGUAUGUGUAUGUGUGUAUGUGUGUGUGUGUGUGGGAGUGUGGGAGUGAGUGAUGACAACAUAAGACUUAUCAAACCAAGCCACACUGGCCUUGGACUUCAAACACAGCAGAUGCGCCGCUGGAAUCCAUGACAACUGUGUUUGCUGUUGCUUGGAGACCGCCCGAAACACACUCUUUUAUACACACUCCCAAACACACACACACACACACACACACACACACACACACACACAGACAUGUUACAACCAUACUGUUGUUUGGGUCUCUUACAACCAUAUGCUUGGGUCUCUUACACAAAAAAUAUAUGCACCCACAUACCACACACAAUCACCCAAAGCCUAUACAUGCAUAAACAAACACCACAAGAAUGCUCUUGCCUGUCUUUAUAUGAAAAGCUGACCACUUCCUCCACAUUCUUUCCUCCAUCAUAAGGAAAUCUAUCUCUCUUUCUCGGAUGAAGGGAUAUGCAGGGGCCCUUCCACAAAGACCGCCAUUCUUGUGCCUUUUAUCGAGUGGCCUACGCCAUAGUGAUACCAUCUGAUUGAAAAAACCUCAGGACAUAUGGGACGGCCGAGACAGAAAUAGAGACAGCAUGUACUAGCACAUGCAUGUUUUUCCAUUAAAUACUGAAUGACUUCAACACAUUCUGGCAACAUUAUGAAUCAACAACCAAGCGGUGCCUUACUUUAAACAGUGUUACUUUUUGAUUGUAUCAUUCCUAAUUUGCAAACAUUUGUGGUUCUCUCAGCCAUUCCUUCAAGACAAAAACAGCCCCAGCGCAUGUGCCAAAUGGACGGGAACAUCUUCCCCACUUCAACACGCCUCCUUCCUCCGUCUAGAACGUGCCUUCAAGAGGAACCAUUAAGUGUUUUUAAAAAGCGCUCGUCCACGAAAAAGGAACAAACAGAGAGGCCCUCGAGGAGGAGGAGGGGUUAUGUUGGAGAAAAGGUGACAUGAAUGGGGCUGAAAGUUGGCCGUGGCGGAUCAAAAAGACCAGGAAUUGUAUGGGGACCCUAAAUAACGAGGCUUCUUAAAGGGGCAGUUUGUCAUUUUUUAAAAGUGUUUCUAGACCUAUAAAUAAUUAUAUCAUUUAAAGGAUACUUAAGAAUGCCUGCUGAUUUGCAAUAGUGCCAUGCAAUGGAUAGGUGGCAGAACUGAGCUCGGCUGUGUUUGUUCUCAUUCUGUAUGUACUCCGUGUGUGUUUCAGCAAAAUGUUGGGAAGGGGAAGGCAUGUCAGUGUUUUAAUUGUAAUUGGCUCUCAAAAGAAUUGGCGCCCUAUCUGGCCAGCUCUCGAAAGUAUUGGCGCCCUACGCGAUCGGCUCUGACGGUACCGGCGCCCUAUCCGUCCGGCUCUAAAAAGUACCGGUGCCCUGUCUGUCCGGUUCUCAAAAGUAUUGGCGUCGUACGUGGGUGGCUGUCGAAAGUAUUGUCCCCCCCCCGUCGCGGUUUUGCCAGGGCAAGCACCACUCACAUUUUCUUCAGGAAAUGUUCCGAUCUAGUUGUAAUUGCAAUUCAGUUCACAGGCAGCAGGACUCUAAAAAUGACAAAGUGCUCCUUUAAGGCCUUGUUCACACCUGGUAUUAACAUCCGUCAUGAGUGAUUUGAUCACUCGAGUGGGCAGCUGAGAUGCUGUCCCGCGAAUCCUGUUUUAUGUACACGUAUGGGCUGUUUCACACACGGUCAGCUAACGAAACAUAUAAAUAAAUGUAGGUGAGACCAUGAAGAAAGCCAGCUGCUUCCGUUUCUGUUGUUUUAGCCACAAGACCCAGAAGAAUGCUAUAUAGGUGUGUGCUAGAAGUGCAGCAGAGAAUUAUCAGUGGAUAGCGGUUAUAGAGUUAUCAUCAGUUCAGCAUGAUUUCCAAACAGUCUCGCAAUCGUUACAUGGUGAAUCAGGGGGUGUUUCAUUGCUGUGCAGGAUGCACCGAGACAUAUUUGCGUCCACACUACAAAUGUGAUGUGGCCAUGUGCGUCCCAGACCACCAUCGAAUGUGGUUUGAGUGAUCAAAUCAAAGCGUGUCUUCGUGAUGCAUUUGACUCUUUCCAAAUUUGUGAUUAGCGCUUUUGGAUCACCCAGGACACACAUUAAUGCCAGGUGUGAAUGAGGCAGAAUUCUGAAGAAAGAAUUCCAUCCAUCCAUUUUCUGGGCUGCUUAUCCUACACGGGGUCACGCGGGAGCCUGGAGCCUAUCCCAAGGAACUCGGGGCAUAAGGCAGGGGACACCCUGGACAGGUUGUCAACCCGUCGCAGGGCACAAUCACACACACAUACACACACACACACACACACACACAUUCACACUCUACAGACAAUUUGGAAAUGCCAAUCAGCCUACAACACAUGCCUUUGGGCUGGGGGAGGAAACUGGAGUACCUGGAGGAAACCCUCGAGAGCAUGGGGAGAACAUGCAAGUUCUGUGUACAAACAGCAGAGGCAGAAUUCGAGCCCCCAACCUCGGAGAAAUAGCUUUAUCCUCUUCAGAGUCACCAUAGAUCCAGGAACGCUUGGCGUGAGGUGGAAGGAAACCGGAGAACCUGGAGGAAACCCAUGCGGACACGUGGAGAACCAGCAAAAUUCUGCACUGACAGUAACCCAUGCUCUGAAUCAUAAACCAUAAAAGAUUCAAUAUACUGUGAUGUGUUGUACAGCUGUCGUGCUGUGACAACUUUUUAUACCGUUCCACCUGUACAUAAAGCAUUCAGUAUGCCGGAAUCUAGUUGCGACUUCUCGAUUUCUCCACAGAGCGUGUUCAGACUUUUUGAGAUGUUCGUCUUUGCAUUUCCACAUGACUGAUGUAUGCAUAUCCGAGCUGGCACAUCAAGGCAUUGUUGACGUAAGCUGAAAAAAGGGAAAAUUUCAAUCAGGGCGUAUAGACAGACAGCAGAAGAAUGCACAGGGAGUGGCGAAAAGUCCUCUAUUGACAGGAAUGAGCGACAAAAGCAGGAUAUAGCACGUAUAAGCUGGUUUACGCGUCUGUCUUUAGGUGUAUUUGCAUUAUGACGCAGAUAGGGGUUUGUAAGCGUGGCAUCCAGAGAUGGGUUGAUGUCCAGGCCUCCAAAACGAAAAUAUGUCGUAGGACUCUUUGUGCGUCAACUAGCCUUCUGGCAAACGUCGAUUGGUUGACAUGGGGAGGUGUGUUCAGUUGUGGUUGUGUACACUGAAAUGUCACGAUGAGAUUUUUCUGCACUCCAUAUUUGAUCAAGGUUUUCAGGAUAAUAUAAUAUGCACUAGAAUAUAAGUGACCGAAUGCUGAUGUUGCGCCGAUGCAGCAAUAGAAUAAUUGAGAAGGCUUAAGCGCUCUGCAUGUGAGCUUACUUACAUAACUUUAUGAAUAUAAAUAUUGAUACAGUGCGUUAAUA